GCAGUCGUGGCCGAGUGGUUAAGGCGAUGGACCAGAAAUCCAUUGGGGUCUCCCCGCACAGGUUCAAAUCCUGUCGACUGCG
rnacentral:tRNA from 1 species